rnacentral:rRNA from 1 species
GACGAGGGAUCCUAGCGUUGUUCGGAAUCACUGGGCGUAAAGCGUUUGUAGGCGGCUCUAUAAGUCGGGUGUGAAAUCCCACGGCUCAACCGUGGAAGUGCAUUCGAAACUGCAGAGCUUGAAUAUGGUAGAGGAGAGUAGAAUUCCUGGUGUAGUGGUGAAAUACGUAGAUAUCAGGAGGAAUACCAGUGGCGAAGGCGACUCUCUGGACCAAUAUUGACGCUGAGAAACGAAAGUGCGGGGAUCAAACAGG